rnacentral:rRNA from 1 species
UCCUGCCCAGUAACAAAGAUCAACGCCGCAGGUAUCCUAACCAUGCAAAGGUAGCAUAAUCACUGGUCUAUUAAUUGUAGACUAGAAUGAAAGGAAAAACGAAAUAUAAGCUGUCUCUAUAGAACAAACAAAAAUUAAUCUCUAACUGAAGAGUGUUAGAUAACAUCGAAGGACAAGAAGACCCUAUAGAGCUUUAUCUUAACAAGAAGUAAUUUAUAGGAUUCGGUUGGGGCGACCAAGGAUAUUAUUUAUCAUCCUUUAUAAAUAGAUUUAUAAAUCCAAAUUUUGAUAAUUAAAACCAAGCUACCUUAGGGAUAACAGGCUAAUCCUGCUAGAGAGUCCUUAUCUAAAGCAGGGAUUGGCACCUCGAUGUUGGCUUAGGGAAACUAUGUGAUGCAAAAGUCACAUAAAGAUGGUUUGUUCAACCAAUAAAUCCCUACAUGAGCUGAGUUCAGACCGGCGUAAGCCAGGUUAGUUUCUAUCCACGAUCCUAGCCAUAGUACGAAAGGACCUGACUAAGGGUAAAUCAAUAAAAGAAUUAAUAUAAUAAUCUUCUAGUACUAAAUACUAU